rnacentral:rRNA from 1 species
CGUAGAGUUUGAUCCUGGCUCAGGAUGAACGCUGGCGGCGUGCUUAACACAUGCAAGUCGAACGGGGUACCCCCAAAGGAGUUUUCGGACAACGUGCGGGGAAGUACCUAGUGGCGGACGGGUGAGUAACGCGUGAGUAACCUGCCUUGGAUGGGGAAUAACAGCUGGAAACAGCUGCUAAUACCGCAUGAUGCAGUUGGGUCGCAUGGCUCUGACUGCCAAAGAUUUAUCGCUCUGAGAUGGACUCGCGUCUGAUUAGCUAGUUGGUGGGGCAACGGCCCACCAAGGCGACGAUCAGUAGCCGGACUGAGAGGUUGGCCGGCCACAUUGGGACUGAGACACGGCCCAGGCUCCUACGGGAGGCAGCAGUGGGGAAUAUUGGGCAAUGGGCGCAAGCCUGACCCAGCAACGCCGCGUGAAGGAAGAAGGCUUUCGGGUUGUAAACUUCUUUUCUCAGGGACGAAGCAAGUGACGGUACCUGAGGAAUAAGCCACGGCUAACUACGUG